rnacentral:tRNA from 1 species
UAAUAGUUAAAUAUAACAUUUAAUUUGCAAUUAAAAAAUAUUGAUUAAUCAAUUUGUCUUU